rnacentral:tRNA from 1 species
GGGGAGUUAGUCCAACGGUAGAACGCCUGACUGUUAAUCAGAGAACGAGAGUUCAACUCUCUCACUCCCCG